UACCCUUGACAUGUACGGAAUUCUGCUGACAGGUGAAUGUGCCUGAAAGGGAACCGUAACAC
rnacentral:rRNA from 1 species